CUAGCAAAAGAGUCAACACCCCAGACUAGCAAAAGAGUUAACACCUCGGAACGAGAAGAUAAGUUCUGAGUUCAUCUCUUCACCCCGCCGUACGCGUUUUUCCCUCCGGAAACCUAACAACCCAAGCUCUAACUUUGAAGAAGAAGAAGAAGGUAUCGAACAGACCUAAGAGGAGAUCGGAGAAGAAGAAGAUAUCAAAUUAAAGUUUACUUGAAGUGAUGUCUAUUACACUUCCAAGCAAAGAAUGGAUGGAUGCACCACGGCUGUCGGCUCAAUUUUUACACUACGAGGUCAGAUAGAUUACAAUACGAGGUACUUAUGUGAAUGCUUUUGAGGAUCCUUUUAUCUUUACUGGCAUAGCUAAAGAAUCUUCCCUAACGGCAGCGAACUUAAAUGAUAACAGAAAUUCGGAAGAAGUAAGUUUAAGUUUUUUGAAUUGAACCGUUGCUUCAUUUUAUCAAAGUGUUGUAUUGAUUAUUAAUUAUGAUGUUACGGGAAAAUUAGGAGAGGCGGAAGUUCAACACUAUUAAGCGUCCCAGCAAUGGCUCGCGAUAACAAUUAUUAGUACCAAUGUUUUUAAAUCGUGAAGCGAACGUAAAUCGUUUUUGAAAAUUUGAGAAUCGACUUCCAACCAUUGUUUUGUCUUCUGAUAUUAUUUAAGUUCAAUUGUAUUUGAUUAUUAGUUGACACCGAAAUAAAUAAAAUAAUUAUAAUA